rnacentral:tRNA from 1 species
GGGGCUGUAGCUCAGUGGUAGAGCACUUGCCUAGCAUGUAUGAGGCACUGGGUUCAAUCCUCAGCACCACA